AUGGCCGGCCUCCUCCUCAGGCUCCUCCCUCCCUCCAUCCUCUCCGGCGGCGCCACCUCCACCUCCACACCUCGCCGUCGGCCAGCACCGAUCCACCACACCACCACCAGAAUCACAAGCAGCAGCAUCAACGCAACACAGUCUUCCUCCUCCUCCACCACACCCGCGACAACCUCGGCGUCGUCUCCGGCGGCGGUGAAGCUCACCUACCUCCAGUUCAACGGCUGGCUGUGGGAGCUGCCCGGCGGCUUCCGCGUCCUCGUCGACCCCAUCCUCGUCGGCAACCUCGACUUCGGCAUCCCCUGGCUCUUCGACGCCGCCAAGAAGACCCUCCCCAACUCCCACCCACAGCCGGACGCCGGCCUCCUCGCCGACCUGCUGCUCAUCACCCAGAGCCUCGACGACCACUGCCACCUCCGCACCCUCACCCAGCUCGCCGCCAUCCGCCCCGGCCUCCCCGUCGUCGCCACGCCCAACGCGCGCCCCAUCCUCUCCGCCCUCCCCUUCACCCACGUCACCUACCUCGAGCCCGGCCAGUCCACCACCGCCGCCGCCGUCACCGUGCUCGCCACCGCCGGCCCCGUGCUCGGCCCGCCGUGGCAGCGCCCGGAGAACGGCUACAUCGUCACCGCCGGCAAAAACACCAGCGUCUACUACGAGCCGCACUGCGUGUACGACGCCGGGUUCCUGCGGGACAGGGCGCUGCGCGCCGACGUGCUCAUCACGCCCGUCGUCAAGCAGCUCCUCCCGGCCGACUUCACCCUCGUCUCCGGGCAGGAGGACGCCGUGGAGCUAGCCAGGCUGCUCCGCCCAAGCUACGUCGUGCCCAUGAGCAACGGCGAGUUCGACGCCAAGGGCCUCCUCGCCGCCCUCGUCUCCACCCGGGGCACCAUCCAGGCCUUCAGGGCCAUGCUCGCCGACGCGCUCCCCGACGCAAAGGUCGUCGAGCCCACCCCCGGCGUCCCGCUCCACCUCCGCUUCGACGACAACGACAACGACAACAACAACAAUUCAUCAACAUCAUCAUCAUCAUCUUCAUAG
rnacentral:rRNA from 1 species